rnacentral:ncRNA from 1 species
AAGUCUUCAAAUUGAAGUCUUCGUAUAAUCCCGGAAAUGGGUUCGGGAGUAUCUACCAGGUGACCGGAAUCACCUUGGCUACGAAGGAGGUUAACCUUUGG